UAUUUAAAAGCUGGCUGGCGACUGCCUCCAUGUCCCAACAUGGGGUUUCUGAGAGCAGUACCAAGUCUUUUUUUUUUUUUUUUUAUUGUUGGGGAUUCAUUGAGGGUACAAUAAGCCAGGUUAUAUUGAUUGCAUUUGUUAGAUAAAGACCCUCUUAUAAUUGUGUCCUCCCCUCAAAAGGUACCACACACUGUGCCCCCCACCCUCUCCUUCCUUCCCUCUGUCUGUUCUCCCCUUCCCCCAACCCCCAUCGUGUACUAGGUCAGUAAUUAUCCUCAUAUCAGAAUUGGGUACAUAGGCUGUUUUCACAUUUUGGGGGUUGUAAAUUGAGCUGCAAUAAACAGUCUAGUACAUGUGUCCUUAUGGUAAAUGUCCUUCUGGGUAGAUGCCAGUAAUGCGAUUACAGGAUCAAAUGGGAGGUCUAGCUUGAGUUCUUUGAGGGUUCUCCAUACUUUCUUACAAAAAGUUUGUAUUAGUUUGCAGUCCCACCAGCAGUGUAAAAGUUUUCCCUUCUCUCCACAUCCACACCAGCAUCCGCAGUGUUGAGAUUUUGUGAUGUGGGCCAUUGUUGCUGGGGUUAGAUGAUAUCUCAGGGUGAUUUUGAUUUGCAUUUCUCUAAUAAUUAGGGACGAUGAGCUUUUUUUCAUAUGUGUGCUAGUCAUUUAUCUGUCUUCUUUAGAGAAGGUUCUAUUCACGUCUCUUGCUCAUUGAUUUAAGGGAUUGUUGGCUCUUUUUAUGUUGAUUAAUUUGAAUUCUCUGUAGGUCCUAGUUAUCAAGAUUUUGUCUGAUUCAAAAUAUGCAAAUAUCCUUUCCCAUUGUGUAGGUUGUCUAUUUGCUUUAAUUGCUGUCUCCUUAACUGUACAGAAGCUUUUCAGUUUAAUUAAGUCCCAUUUGUUUAUUUUUGUUGUUGUUCCAAUUGCCACCGAAGUCCUCUUCAUAAAGUCUCUCCCCAGGCCAAUAGCUUCAAGUGUUUUCCUCACACUUUCUUUGAGGAUUUUUAUUGUUUCAUGCCUUAGAUUUAGGUGUUUUAUCCAUCUUGAAUCAAUUUUUGUGAGUGGAGAAAGGUGUGGAUCCAGUUUCAUUUUUUUACAUGUGGAUAUCUAGUUCUCCCAGCACCACAUAUGUUCAUUUUCUGCUUUUUCUGUGGGGCCCCUAUACCUCCUGGGAUGGAAAUAACAUCACAGAAAACCAGAGCUCGGUGGCAGAUAAAGCCUCAGGACAAGAUUGACUCAGGAAUUACUGCAAUACAGUAAAUGAGACUUUGGUGUCAAACUGGGCUCAGCACUGAAAUACGA